rnacentral:rRNA from 1 species
UAGGGAAUAUUGGACAAUGGGUGAGAGCCUGAUCCAGCCAUGCCGCGUGCAGGAAGAAGGCGUUAUGCGUUGUAAACUGCUUUUGCCAGGGGAUAAAAAGACCGUGCGCGGUUAAUUGAAGGUACCUGGUGAAUAAGCCACGGCUAACUACGUGCCAGCAGCCGCGGUAAUACGUAGGUGGCAAGCGUUAAUCGGAAUUACUGGGCGUAAAGCGCACGUAGGUGGUUUUGUAAGUCGGAUGUGAAAGCCCUGGGCUCAACCUGGGAAUUGCGCUUGAAACUACGGAGCUAGAGUUUGGCAGAGGGGGGUGGAAUUCCACGUGUAGCAGUGAAAUGCGUAGAUAUGUGGAGGAACACCGAUGGCGAAGGCAGCCCCCUGGGCCAAAACUGACGCUCAGGCACGAAAGCGUGGGGAGCAAACAGGAUUAGAUACCCACGUAGUCCCUGAGCGGGCUGGCA